CGGAGGGUGCAAGCGUUAUCCGGAUACACUGGGUUUAAAGGGAGCGCAGGCGGACUGGUAAGUCAGUGGUGAAAUACCUGAGCUUAACUCGGGAACUGCCAUUGAUACUAUCAGUCUUGAAUGUUGUUGAGGUUUGCGGAAUGGGUCAUGUAGCGGUGAAAUGCAUAGAUAUGACCCGGAACACCUAUUGCGAAGGCAGCAGGCUAAACAAAUAUUGACGCUGAGGCUCGAAAGCGUGGGGAUCAAACAGGAUUAGAUACCCUGGUAGUCCACGCCCUAAACGAUGAUUACUCGACAUACGCGAUACACUGUGUGUGUCUGAGCGAAAGCAUUAAGUAAUCCACCUGGGAAGUACGACCGCAAGGUUG
rnacentral:rRNA from 1 species